GUGCCAGCAGCCGCGGUAAUACGGAGGAUGCGAGCGUUAUCCGGAUUUAUUGGGUUUAAAGGGUGCGUAGGCUGUGCGUUAAGUCAGGGGUGAAAUGCCGUCGCUCAACGACGAGCUGCCCUUGAUACUGGCGUGCUGGAGUACGGAUGCCGUUGGAGGAAUGAGUGGUGUAGCGGUGAAAUGCUUAGAUAUCACUCAGAACACCGAUUGCGAAGGCAUCUGACGAAUCCGUCACUGACGCUGAGGCACGAAAGCGUGGGGAUAGAACAGGAUUAGAUACCCUGGUAUUCCACGCCGUAAACGAUGAUGACUAACCGUCGGCGAUAGACAGCCGGUGGCCAAGCGAAAGCGAUAAGUCAUCCACCUGGGGAGUACGUCGGCAACGAUGAAACUCAAAGGAAUUGACGGGGGCCCGCACAAGCGGAGGAACAUGUGGUUUAAUUCGAUGAUACGCGAGGAACCUUACCCGGGCUCGAACGGUGCAGGAAGAGAUCUGGAGACAGUGACGCCCUUCGGGGCCUGCAUCGAGGUGCUGCAUGGUUGUCGUCAGCUCGUGCCGUGAGGUGUCGGCUCAAGUGCCAUAACGAGCGCAACCCUUGUCGUCAGUUGCCAUCAGGUGAAGCUGGGGACUCUGACGAGACUGCCACCGCAAGGUGUGAGGAGGGGGGGGAUGACGUCAAAUCAGCACGGCCCUUACGUCCGGGGCGACACACGUGUUACAAUGGCGGCCACAGAGGGAAGCUACCUGGUGACAGGAUGCGGAUCUCGAAAAGCCGUCUCAGUUCGGACUGGAGUCUGCAACCCGACUCCACGAAGUUGGAUUCGCUAGUAAUCGCGCAUCAGCCAUGGCGCGGUGAAUACGUUCCCGGGCCUUGUACACACCGCCCGU
rnacentral:rRNA from 1 species